rnacentral:tRNA from 2 species
GGGGACGUAGCUCAGCUGGCUAGAGCACCUGCUUUGCAAGCAGGGGGUCGUGGGUUCGAUUCCCAUCGUCUCCACCA